UACGCAGGUGGCGAGCGUUGCCCGGAAUUACUGGGCGUAAAGCGUGCGCAGGCGGCCCGUUAAGACAGGUGUGAAAUCCCUGGGCUCAACCUAGGAAUUGCGCUUGUGACUGGCGGGCUCGAGUACGGUAGAGGGGGGUGGAAUUCCUGGUGUAGCAGUGAAAUGCGUAGAGAUCAGGAGGAACACCGAUGGCGAAGGCAGCCCCCUGGGCCUGUACUGACGCUCAUGCACGAAAGCGUGGGGAGCAAACAGG
rnacentral:rRNA from 1 species